rnacentral:rRNA from 1 species
AGAGUUUGAUCAUGGCUCAGGACGAACGCUGGCGGCGUGCUUAAUACAUGCAAGUCGAGCGAGGUUACUGUUUUGGAUCCCUUCGGGGUGAAGAAGCUUUAACCUAGCGGCGGACGGGUGAGUAACGCGUGGGUAACCUACCCCAAAGUCCGGGAUAACAGCGGGAAACCGCUGCUAAUACCGGAUGCCUUUACCUUGGGGCAUCUUGAGGUAAAGAAAGGUAACGCUUUGGGAUGGGCCCGCGUCCCAUUAGCUAGUUGGUGAGGUAACGGCUCACCAAGGCGACGAUGGGUAGCCGGCCUGAGAGGGUGGACGGCCACACUGGGACUGAGACACGGCCCAGACUCCUACGGGAGGCAGCAGUGGGGAAUAUUGCGCAAUGGACGGAAGUCUGACGCAGCGACGCCGCGUGAGCGAUGAAGGUCUUCGGAUCGUAAAGCUCUGUCCUUGGGGAAGAAGGCGAAAGCUUGACGGUACCCAAGAAGAAAGCCCCGGCUAACUACGUGCCAGCAGCCGCGGUAAUACGUAGGGGGCGAGCGUUGUCCGGAAUUACUGGGCGUAAAGGGUGCGUAGGCGGCCCUUUAAGUCGGAUGUGAAAGCCCGCGGCUUAGCCGCGGAAUGGCAUUCGAAACUGGAGGGCUUGAGUGUCGGAGAGGGUAGUGGAAUUCCCAGUGUAGCGGUGAAAUGCGUAGAUAUUGGGAGGAACACCAGUGGCGAAGGCGACUACCUGGACGAUAACUGACGCUGANGCACGAAAGCUAGGGGAGCAAACAGGAUUAGAUACCCUGNUAGUCCUAGCCGUAAACGAUGGGUACUANGUGUGGGUGGUUUCGAUACCAUCCGUGCCGUAGUUAACGCAUUAAGUACCCCGCCUGGGGAGUACGUGCGCAAGCAUGAAACUCAAAUGAAUUGACGG